rnacentral:rRNA from 1 species
GACGAACGCUGGCGGCGUGCCUAAUACAUGCAAGUAGAACGCAGUUGCGAACGGGUGAGUACCGCGUAGGUAACUGCCUGGUAGCGGGGGAUAACUAUUGGAAACGAUUGCUAAUACCGCAUACUACCAGAUGGACCUGCGUUUGAUUAGCUAGGUGGUGAGGUAACGGCCCACCAAGGCAACGAUACAUAGCCGACUUGAGGAGGAGAACGGCCACAAGGGGAAUGAGCAACGGCCCAGACUCCUAAGGGAGGCAGCAGUAGGGAAUCAUCGGAAAUGGGGGGAACGCUGACCGAGCAACGCCGCGUGAGUGAAGAAGGUUUUCGGAUCGUAAAGCUAUGUUGUUAAGGAAGCGGUACUUAACCAGAAAGGGACGGCUAACUACGUGCCAGCAGCCGCGGUAAUAC